UUCUUCUUCUUCUUAUCCCUUCCCACCGCUCCCCCAUUCCAUGGUGGCCGCCCCUCACUUCCAUUCCUUUCGUCCCCGCCGCCGGCGCGAGGCCUCACCUGCUCUCCCCACUGCUUCCUCUCCCCGGCACGCAGUCGCACGCCGCAUCCUCUCCCGCCACAUCGUCGCCCAGCGCAUCCUCUCCCCCUCCCCACGGCCUUGCGCCGCCGCCUCCUCUCCCCACCAUAACCUCGCCUUGCCGCUAACACCGUCGGCCUUCCCUAGAUCGACUCUGCCGUCGCCGUACACAUGUCCCAGCGCAGAUCCAGAUGCGAGCUAGAGGAGCGUGCUGGACACGAUGCGGGAGCAGGCAUCUCGGAGCGGCCCGAGGUUCAGUGCGUCUCGUGCCCCUGUGAUAGUCGGCCUCGUGCUUGGCUCCCACAUUCAAUCCGGGAAGGCGCUCGCAGCUCGCUUACGUGCUCGACUACUCCAGUUACUUGAUGGAUUCAGGCUACUAUAAGAAAUGGCAACUUGGGGCAUGACUUGCAAGAAAGGGAUUCUAUGACAGAAUGACAUUGCUUCAUGGUUUCGGGGUAUGUAGAGAAUGUGAUGUUUAGAAAAAUCUGGGCAACAGCAGCAUUUCCAAGGUGACAAAUAUGUUCUUAUUUUGGCUUGAGACAUUGAAGAGGGGAUGUCUGGCCAUGAAGCCACCUUAUUGUGAUCGCCAUUGUAUAAUGUCUUUGUUGGGGUAUCUGCUUCUUUCAUGCUUGGAAACAUUGAUGAGGGGAUGUCUGUCCACAAAAUAUGUAAAUACCUCAGGAGGAGCACGGGCAGACGAGUUCCAGCGAAGACAGCGGAGGCGAGAUUGGACGCUUGCGGCACGGCAAUGUCGAGCCUAAGUCAAGCCAGACUGAAAGUAGAUGAGGUACCAGUGUUCAUAGACAUGUUGAAGGAUGUCGUAUAUGGAAACAGUUAACAAAAAUACCUGAUGUAAAGCUGACUUGUCAAAGAGCUUAAUUGAAACGAAGGUGACAACCUGUGAAACUGGCAGGUUAAUUGUAAAGCUGAGCUUAAUUGAACCGAAGGUGACAACGCCGUGAAACUGACAAGUUAAUUGAACCAAAACCUGGGAUUGUGUCACAUGAAAAAUCACUGGAGAUAGGAUGUAUUUGUAGCACCAACGAUGCCCGCCUCUAAGUAGGUUUCGGACUCCUGUAGGAAUCUAAAUAGGAGUAGGAAUAGGAAUAGGAAUAGGACCAGGAUUUGGACUCAUGUAAGGAAAGCCAGCACCAACGAUGCCCGCCUCUAAGUAGGUUUCGGACUCCUGUAGGAAUCUAAAUAGGAGUAGGAAUAGGAAUAGGAAUAGGACCAGGAUUUGGACUCAUGUAAGGAAAGCCAGCCAGCGGCGCUGCCUCCGUACGCAGUGGGUCCCUCCAUCGAUACGGGCAGGCAGCUUCGUUUGUUUGGCAAUUUAAAAAUAGAGAUAUGGGCCGGCCGGCCGGCUCUUGUUA